AUUGAACGCUGGCGGCAGGCCUAACACAUGCAAGUCGAACGAGUGGCGGACGGGUGAGUAAUGUCUGGGAAACUGCCUGAUGGAGGGGGAUAACUAAUGGAAACAGUAGCUAAUACCGCCUACCAUCAGCUGUGCCCAGAUGGGAUUAGCUUGUUGGGGGGGUAAAGGCUCACCAAGGCGACGAUCCCUAGCUGGUCUGAGAGGAUGACCAGCCACACUGGAACUGAGAAACGGCCCAGACUCCUACGGGAGGCAGCAGUGGGGAAUAUUGGACAAUGGGCGCAAGCCUGAUGCAGCCAUGCCGCGUGUAUGAAGAAGGCCUGCGGGUUGUAAAGGACUUUCAGCGGGGAGGCGUUACCCGCAGAAGAAGCACCGGCUAACUCCGUGCCAGCCGCCGCGGUAAUUC
rnacentral:rRNA from 1 species